GGUGCAUGCGCUCGCAUCAUGGCGGCUGAGUGGGCUUCUCGUUUCUGGCUUUGGGCUACGCUGCUGAUUCCUGCGGCCGCGGUCUACGAAGACCAAGUGGGCAAGUUUGAUUGGAGACAGCAAUAUGUUGGGAAGGUCAAGUUUGCCUCCUUGGAAUUUUCCCCUGGAUCCAAGAAGUUGGUUGUAGCCACAGAGAAGAAUGUGAUUGCAGCAUUAAAUUCCCGAACUGGGGAGAUCUGUGAGUGAACUGAGAACUGUGUCUACUGGCUGCCUCAGGGAUGAAAGACUUACCAUUGCCAACUCUGCCUGGCUGAUUCCUGAAUAAGGAACAUGUUGGCCAAAAGAUGCCUCUCCUAGUGGAUUCUGAUACUUUUUUUUUUUCAGUCUUACCAUCUUUGAAUAUUUGUAUGUUCCUAUAACUGACCUUUGCGGUUUGUUCUCUCAGCUUGAAUCCUGAGUGUCCUUAAAUAAGAUAUUGCUGCAAGCCCAGGCGGGAGGAUCACUUGAGCUCAGGAGUUCGAGACCAGCCUGGGGAUCACAGUGAGGCCCCAUGUCUAAAAUU
rnacentral:lncRNA from 10 species